AGUGAGCGCUGGCGGUAGGCCUAACACAUGCAAGUCGAACGGCAGCACAGUAAGAGCUUGCUCUUACGGGUGGCGAGUGGCGGACGGGUGAGGAAUACAUCGGAAUCUACUUUUUCGUGGGGGAUAACGUAGGGAAACUUACGCUAAUACCGCAUACGACCUACGGGUGAAAGCAGGGGAUCUUCGGACCUUGCGCGAUUGAAUGAGCCGAUGUCGGAUUAGCUAGUUGGCGGGGUAAAGGCCCACCAAGGCGACGAUCCGUAGCUGGUCUGAGAGGAUGAUCAGCCACACUGGAACUGAGACACGGUCCAGACUCCUACGGGAGGCAGCAGUGGGGAAUAUUGGACAAUGGGCGCAAGCCUGAUCCGGCCAUACCGCGUGGGUGAAGAAGGCCUUCGGGUUGUAAAGCCCUUUUGUUGGGAAAGAAAAGCAGCAGAUUAAUACCCCGCUGUUCUGACGGUACCCAAAGAAUAAGCACCGGCUAACUUCGUG
rnacentral:rRNA from 1 species